UUAAAUUGAAGAGUUUGAUCAUGGCUCAGAUUGAACGCUGGCGGCAGGCCUAACACAUGCAAGUCGAACGGUAACAGGAAGCAGCUUGCUGCUUCGCUGACGAGUGGCGGACGGGUGAGUAAUGUCUGGGAAACUGCCUGAUGGAGGGGGAUAACUACUGGAAACGGUGGCUAAUACCGCAUAACGUCGCAAGACCAAAGAGGGGGACCUUCGGGCCUCUUGCCAUCAGAUGUGCCCAGAUGGGAUUAGCUUGUUGGUGAGGUAACGGCUCACCAAGGCGACGAUCCCUAGCUGGUCUGAGAGGAUGGACCAGCCACACUGGAACUGAGACACCGGUCCAGACUCCUACGGGAGGCAGC
rnacentral:rRNA from 1 species